AUUGAACGCUGGCGGCAGGCCUAACACAUGCAAGUCGAGCGGAUGAAGGGAGCUUGCUCCUGGAUUCAGCGGCGGACGGGUGAGUAAGGCCUAGGAAUCUGCCUGGUAGUGGGGGAUAACGUCCGGAAACGGGCGCUAAUACCGCAUACGUCCUGAGGGAGAAAGGGGGGGAUCUUCGGACCUCACGCUAUCAGAUGAGCCUAGGUCGGAUUAGCUAGUUGGUGGGGUAAAGGCCUACCAAGGCGACGAUCCGUAACUGGUCUGAGAGGAUGAUCAGUCACACUGGAACUGAGACACGGUCCAGACUCCUACGGGAGGCAGCAGUGGGGAAUAUUGGACAAUGGGCGAAAGCCUGAUCCAGCCAUGCCGCGUGUGUGAAGAAGGUCUUCGGAUUGUAAAGCACUUUUAGUUGGGAGGAAGAGCAGUAAGUUUAUACGUUGCUGUUUUGACGUUACCAACAGAAUAAGCACCGGCUAACUUCGUG
rnacentral:rRNA from 1 species